GGUACACCACAAGCUCGCUGAUGUGAAACUUGGCUCCAAAUUCUCCACACUGUCUUCAAAUCCACUUUGAAGAGAAGGGCUGCCUCCUUUUUUGCACCAUAGUGAAGCUUACCUCCAAUGCUAUGCUCAAGAAGCCAUUGGGCUAAUUUAUUUCUUUCAUUGUCUUCAAUUUUUUUCCUUUCAAUGGCCAUUUUGUAUGUUUAGUUGGAGUAGUUGGUGAGAAUUUACUUCUCUGCAGAGAGCAUGUAUUUAUAGUUGUGUUAGUGGUUCUUUAAAGUUUGCUUUUCCCUCCUAAUUUUUGGAGGGAUAAAUGUACUGUACAGCAUCUUUGUUUAUCAAUAAAAGUGUGAUUUUGCCUCCAA
rnacentral:lncRNA from 1 species